rnacentral:misc_RNA from 1 species
AAGUCGUAACAAGGUCUCCGUAGGUGAACCUGCGGAGGGAUCAUUACCGAGUUAUCACUCAAAACCCUGUUUACCAUCUGUUGCUUCGGGGGCGCCCCUCGGGAGGGGAUAUGCUUCGGCCGCCCCCGAAAGCCAGAAACUAUUUAAUUGUCUGUCAUUAUAAAACUACAAAAAAAAUUAAAACCUCAACAACGGAUCUCUUGGUUACU